GCCCCGGUGGUGUAGUGGUUAGAGCACGCGUCCUCGGAGAGGAUGAAACGCGGGUUCGAUUCCCGCCUGAGGCC